GGUUGGCGUUGCAGGAUUGUUUGACAACUGGCUUUGUGAAAGGGUGAUGUUUGGGCCAGGUUUUACUUCCUGCACAAAGACAUCGACCCACCACAGAUUUUUUUUAACCUUUACCUCAAGGAGAGAAAAAUAAUCUUGGUAUUUCCAAGACAGAAAUCUCACACCUGAAUGAUCAUCGGUUACUGUGUGUGUCCUUUCUCUUAGGCUGCUUUCCUCCUGCUGCUGUGCCGGUGAAGGUGUAACCUCACUGCCAAGUUGGAGGAUCAAUCUCUAAUGAUUGAUGAGUCCUUUCUUUUCCUUUAAUAUCAGUGCAUCUCUAUGGGAUUCAAUAACAGAGAAAAACACAGUGUGAAGUCCUGUAAAAUGUAAACAAGGACGCCACACUGUUAUGUCACGCCAACCCCAGCAGGAAGCUCCUGGCAUAACCCACAAAUAUACCCAGCAAAUAUAAGGUCUAAUAUCAACAGCACCUCACACGGGGCAGUUAAUGCUUUGGAGGAACAAACCGAGCGUGGAUGGAACGGAUGUCCCGCAGAGUUUUCACUUUCAGAGGUGUUCACACCUGCAGCACACAUGGUGUGAGUCAGAGUCUGUACUUCCCUGUCAGAGGGCUCGAUCCAGCAGCGACAGACUGAGGGAUUCAAACAUAAAGUCUGACUCAAUCUUUCCUGAGGUCCAGACCUACAGUGUCCAUACACUGCAAAGGGAAAAAUAUUAGGUGUGGGGGCAUUCUGCGUAAAAAAUGAGCAUCCCAAAUGAUCAGCAGUUACCGUAAUUCCCAGACUAUUGGGUGCACCUGAAUAUAAGCCACAAGCACUAAAUUAAAAAAGAAAACGUACAUGUAUAGGCCACUCUUUUCUGAGCCGCAGGUGUAGAUUUAAUCCGAUCAGUGCCUGUAACACAUCAGUAAAAUGACAGUAGAACGACCUCCAUCACCUCUUAUCGUCUUUUUGCGUCUCACCAUCGAUUAAUUAAUGCCAUGCUUACGUGCAGCAGCUCUAUCUCGACUUAAAAGCUGCAUCAUCUGCAGUUCUUCAUGUAUUUUCAAUGAUGAGGGUGAGGGCAUGAAGCGCAAAACGAUCAAACUAGAGUUUUCCUCGGCGCUUCCUGCUAGAGCGCACCCUGGAGGCACAUGGCUGUAAAAAACUAUAAAUUAGCCGCAUCAUCAUAGACUGUAUAUACUAUAGAAAACUUGACUCCGCCUUCUGUCAUUAUACGAAUUUGAAACCGAAUUGCUUUUGGUAUUUUUGGGGAUUUUCUCCACUUCCUGGAACCACUACUUGCGCAGUAGCGUUGUACGCAUUUGGCGGGAGAGUCGGUGUGAUGAUGCUCGGUUCAAACUGUCAGUACGUUUACAUGACAUUCAAGAAAACAAAAUCAUUGCCUUAUUCCGAUUAAGACUGGACAUCUGAAGUGCAUGUAAACACGAGUACUCCGAUUAAGACCCCCGGAUAAUGUGAUUGGAUUUCUAUUUUCUCUACCAUGUAGUCGGAGUAUGCUCAGACAAUACAUGUGCGUGUGCGCCACGUCCCCAUAACUCCGGAACAAAAACACCAGAGAAGAGGAGUGGCGUGCAUCUCAUCCGCCAAAAGUAGCGCGUACAUCAUGUACGACAAAAAAAACUCUGUACGAUGCUCCAUCUUCUUGCUUGAAGAUGCCCAGCAGCAGUUGUAGACACUUUUGACGUCUGGCACGGACCUGCGGUUGUUGUUGGGUCGACCAGAAAUGGCACUGCUAAAAAGACCCAUAUCGCCCCCUAGUUUUGGCGAGGAGGUCACGUUCACGUCGAUAAUUCAAUUUUCUCAGCUGCAGAGGUACACCAAUAGUAUGCAGUAUGAGAAUAAAAACAACCAAGUAAUAUAUUGAAGUAACCCAGAUAUUUUACUCCAGUCUUUACUUUCUGCUCAGCAAAUAGAUCAGAAGCAUCUGUUCAGAAGUAUCUCAAAGAUGUCCUCUUUUUUAGAGGAAUGUUGCAGAAAUUUUUCCGACCACCUUGAAAAUAAAAGUCUGUACUUCAAUAACAUAGCUGCAAGUGAGGACACAUAAUCAGAAUAGUUGGUUAUACUUUGGUGUUAAUUCAUGUGUUAUUUCAGGGUUAAAGCUGCACAGCUGCUCAUCCUCAUGUUUAACUCUGCUCAGUCAUUUGAAGCAGAGUUGUGUUUCAGUGCCCUGUUUCUAGUUUGGUGGUGCAGCUUGUUCUUGUUACCAAAAUGGGCUAAAAUCACAGAGCAAACACAUGUCAACACAGUUUUAAUGAAGGCUUCAGCUGUAAGAAAAAUAAUAGAAUAUUCCCCAACAGCCACGGCCAGGAAAUGUUAUGAAGACAUCCUUUGUUUCUAAUUGCGGCCAAGUCUGGUCUCCCUCUCUGCCAGCAGGGAUUGAUGUGUCUCGACAGGCGAGAUGUACGCCUCCACCAGCACUCAGUGGGGUUGCCAACCAGCCAUCCACCCAGUCAGCCAGGUCCCCCAAACCCCCGGGAGGCUACAAGACCUAGAAGACGUUAGUGUCUGUGAGUUCAUAAGAGUGAGACCCAGCCUCUUUCUCAGCCAUUUGUUUCUGCCACUUUGGCACUAAGAGAAUUGCUUUCAAUCUCUUGGAGGGAGUCUGGCAUUCCUGCAUCCCAUCCAUCACAAUUCCUCUCUCCAGUGGAUGGACCACUUCCACGCCUGCCUGUCUGCUUGUCUGCCGCUUUCAUCGGCUGGAUACUGCCUCCCUGCACUACAGUCAUCUCCCAGUGACUGCUGCAAUUACCCUCUGCCCAGGCAUACAUCACCGCGGACACUGGUGGACAUUUCUUUCCUCUUUUGUUCUGGCACUACAGGAAUUAACUGUGAUGGCCGGUGGCGAGUAAACGCUCUCUUGUUGCACAGCGCUCGACCUCCUGAGAGUGUACCGAGAAGUGAACUUCGAUUUGUGACCAAGCCGUGAACUCAUCAGACUUUGAAGGAGAACUAGUUUUUUGAGUGAAAACAUUUUCGGUGUCUGGAUUUGCAAGCGCUCCUUAAAGCUUGAGUGUGAUGAAAAAUGAAUCCUAGCUUUCCUCUUUUAGCUUCGAUCUAUCAAGGAGAGACUCGGAGGCACGCUAAGAUGUAACGGCAUAUAUGCACACAGCAAUUGAAGACGUACGGCAUGACAAACGACAGAGUAUGACGUCCCAAAUGGCACAUGAAUUCGCUGAAAGGGAGUACCACACCGCCUGGAUUCUUAAUGACGAUGCAGCUUUUUGUACGGGUGACGUACACGAACGAACGAGCGAGCGAGCGGCUGUGUGGGAUAUCGAUUGUCUGCGGGGAAGAAAUGAACUCAAUUUGGAAGGCAAUGGCAUGAGCCGGAGCCGCGGUGGCCUCACAUAAGCUGCACGUUAAGCAGGAAGAUGGUGCUUUUAUUGGAAAUCCCAAGAGGGACAACAACCCUCGACUACAAUAAUCGCUUCCAUGGACAUCCCUGACCUUUGACCUCUUUGUAGAGAGGGGGGAAAGCUACAAGAGGAGGAUAAAAUACAUCUCUGAGAGGGCCACACUUGGACUCUCUCCUUGCUAAAGGUUAAACUCCUACCUACAGUCACUCAUUGUGGAGGUACACGUGUGGACUGGCUAAUGUGUGUGUAGGAGUGAGACGGAGUAUACGAGGAGAGGGAGUUCUUGGCAAGUGUCGAAAGCAGUUAAAUCAUCGCACAUAGGGCCAAAGUGGCACUUAUAGCAUAUAAACGUCACUGGGAAUGAGUCUGUCGUGGGAGCGGGUAUAAUAUGCAAGCAUAGGCUUCAACGUAGGUAGGUGUGUGCGCGCUUUAGUGGGGGAGCAAAGUCAGAAAGAUGACUCAGUCAAGUUUCAACAUCUUUUGAAAAUAUCAAAGCUUGACCUCGCUUAUGAUGUCUUUUAUUUAUCCAUGCAUUCACUCCCUUCAUUAACGUGUCUCCUUAACGACAGCUUUGGCAGAAAUCCGCUUUUUUUUUCAGCGCCUGACAGGCAUCAUCGUCGUAUGGCAGAUUGCAGCUUUUCAGCAAGGCGUAGGAUCAGCAGGAGCAGCCAGCCACGCUGCACAAGUAGGUGAUGAUUAAAGGCUGACCUUAAGCUUAAUUAGUGGCAACGGAGAGAUUUCACCGCUCGGCUAUGAAUCAUGGGAAAGGAGAAGAAGGAAAAAAAGCAGCCACUAGGGAAAUGUUACCUAAGUGAUUAGGUGAGGGGUGUAAAUCAAUAGUGCUGUUGACCUGCGAACGGAGUGGCAAAGGGAAGUGAGGUGCGAAAUGAAGAUGGAAAAAAGAAUGAAAGGACAUGAUUAACACGAGUGACCCGCUCCUGUCAAACGGACGUAAACAGCAACGCCACUCUCUCUCUCUCUUACGCACUCAGGGUGAGUUAGUAACCAGGGGCGUUCAUUUCCUUUAUUUUGUUAAUUUAAUAAGGAACAAGAUGAGCUUCAUAAAUAUUCUUUUACGAGCCGCUGCGGUGCCAGGCAUUCUCGAGAAAUUGGAAUAUAAAUCUGUUUUUUUAUUUUCUCUAAUAAUAGAAGGCGAUUAUUAAAUACUGGGAGUAUAUUUUUAGGUUGGAGGGAAACACAUUUGUGUGUGUGUGUGUGUGUGUGUGUGUGUGUGUGUGUGUGUGUGUGUGUGUGUGUGUGUGUUUCAUCUUGUUUUGAAUCUUUGAUUUGAUUUUAAUACCAUCAUUUUUAUCAUAUCAUUAAUUAAAAAAUGUUUGAUAUAAAAUGGUCUCAUACACAAAAUGUCAGUAAAUUUAAAUGUAUUUUUACACACAAGUAUGAAAAUCUUCAUUAUGAGCUAAUCCAACAUAAAAUACUUUUAUACAGUAUAAGGGCCACACUAAGAAUAAAAAAAGAUUAAAGUGGUGAAGUCAUUACAAUUUUAUUCAUGUUAGUAAUGAUUUUAUUACAACUUUUCUUGUUAGUAAUGACAAAAUUACAACUUUAUUCUCAUAAAUAUUUACUUUAUCACAACUUUAUGCUCAUUAGCAAUGAUUUUAUUACUACUUUUGUAUUCUGAUUUUAUUCUCGCAAGUUAACAACUUUAUUACGACUUUAUUCUCGUAAGUUAACAACUUUUUUACAACUCUAUUCUCAUGAAUAACAACUUUAAUAUGAUUUAAACGUUAACGUAAUGACUUUAUUCUCGUUAGCAAUGAUUUUAUUACGACUUUUUUUCUGUAAGUAACGACUUUAUUACUACUUUAGUCUCAUACGUAAUGACUUUAUUCUUACUCUAUUUCUUAUAGAUUAAUGACUUUAUUACAACUUUAUUCUGAUAAGUAAUGUCUUUAUUCUGACUUUAUUCUCCUAAGUAAUGAUUUUAUUACGACUUUAUUCUCAUUAGUAAUGAUUUUAUUACCCUUUUUUCUUGUGAGUAGUAUUCUCCUAAGUUAACGACUUUAUUAUGACUUUUCCUGUAAGUAAUGAUUUCAUUACAAGAAAAGUAACUUCGCGACUUUAAUCCCCAAGUCUGAAUUCUUUCAAGGUACUCCUUUAUUAGUCCCACACGGGGAAUUUUUUUUUUUAACGCAACGUCAUAAAUUACAAAGUGAUAAGUCCAGAAAAAAACAAUGAGCAAACCUGCGAGUAAAAUUGUGCAUAUAUGUGCACGAAUCUGCACGACUUUUUUAACUGUCCCAGUCCCUCUGGUUUGACUCAGUUCUUCUAAUAAGAGCCAUGGAGUCUAUCGUGCAUCCCAGCAGAGAACCACAGCCACAAGGUUAAGCAACACGCACUUCACAUCCGUUUGUUGUUGUGAUUUUGUUUAGCAUUCGUCAUAGCCGUGACAAAUGUGGGGAGGACACUAGAACUGCUUGCAAAAGUUUCUUGUUUAUUGCGAAAAAGUAAACCAAAUGAAUAACUAACUAUGAAACAUGGAGUAUAUUAGUCACCACGCUCUCAUUAUACGGCGAGAGUCAAACUUCUUGGCUCAACAGUGGCAUAAACAACACAGAGAGAAACAGCACAAACCCUCCACCAUAUCUUUGAGACAUGAUAUAGAGUUAUUUUAAAAGGAAAUAAAUGAGCUAAAGAGACAAAAUGUACCAGUAUGUUAACACUUUGCUCGUUUUAACAUCGGGCCUGAUUGGGAUUCUUUGGCUUCUGUAACCAGCCUGCAGAAGAAACUCAAGAAAUCACAUGUUUUGGUGCUUUUCUGUUGCAAACCGAUUUACACACACACACACAAAAAGAAGUUCUUCAUUUCUGCAGAGUAACCGCAGGUAAAGUUGUAGUCACGUCUCUCGCUCUCUACUUAAGAUAAAACAAUUAAUCUUACAUUGAGCACUUCACCCCAGAGCUCAGAAAGCGCCUAAAUGGCUCAUUGAAGACUGCGCCUUUAAUCGCUUCUGUGAGGCAGUUUGUGCCAAAUCAGUUGUUGAUGCUUCAUUCCCCUCUCUCCGUGCUCGAAAUAGGGGAAACUCUUCUUAUUACGGAGCCAAGGUUAGAAGACACAUUAGUUAUUGAGGAGUGGAAAUCAAUAGCCAAAGCAGUCCUUGAGAUUGGCAAACUACAGCGUCUCAGGCUGCCGGUGUGAGCACAACUGUGUGUGUAAUCUGUACUCGCUAAAGUCUGUGCUGGAGAAAAAGGCCUGAAAUCUCUUAACGGGAAACAAUACUCUGAAUGGAUUAUGUCGUGUUCGGAAUAUGGGAAGCUUUAGCACAGAUUGAGGUCAAGGUAAAGGUCACCUGCCAAAGUGUCAAUUAGUAUGAGUGUAAGGCUUUAAUUCACUGCUGACAUUUUUAAUACAUGGUCGUAAACUUCCCGGCUACCUUCACAUGCAAGAAACAUUCAAUUUUGAGAAAUCCCCAACCCUCAAACCCUGACGUUUCCUAAAUCAAAUGAAUGACCGUAAUCUACCGUCAUAAACGGAUAUUUAGUCUAAAAAACCAAAGACCACUUGAGUGUGUUUCACCAACUAAACAUGAGGAUAAACACACACAGGCUUGUAAAUUCUCAGUUGAACGUUUGGCUAAACUUUGGCCGACUUCGACACUUGAAUACACAAGGAAAAUCCGCUUCUUAAUUUAUGGACAUGAUGGUUUACACAUCUCCUAAAACACAAGUGGAAACAGUGAAAAACGCCGAACAGACGGACUCAAAAUUUGAUCAAGCUUCUCCUCUCUAAAACUCGUAAAAACGUCUUAAUUUUGAUUUUUGUUUACAUGUUCAUUUAUACCAGCAAACUCACAAUGUUUGCAUCCUUGAAGUCAAUUUUAAAAACAUAACCAGCCAAAAAAAAAGUGAGUUAAAAGUUCUCCAUCUGCUCCAGACACCAGAAACAGCUCUUCUCUUUUUCCCCUCAGCUUCUCUGUGCAGUUAUUAUAAUACCAGUGUAGCUUCAUACUGCGGUUAAAUCAGCGAAACACACGGACAGAUUCAAAAGUGUGUUAACCUUUCCUCGAACUCCCCCUUCAGCCGCAACAUGAGCGAACACACCAACACAUUCACAGAUACACACACACACACACACACUUUGAUUCGUUCCCUCUUUUUCUGUCUCUGUUUUUUGUCCCUUUUGUUUUGUCUUUGUCAAUUUGUGAGACUCGGGACUAUAUUAGGUCUGACGUUUGUCCUCGACUGCUGUCCUCUACCGCUCUUUUGUGUUUUUGGUUGUUUUGUCUAACCCUUAGAUGGUUGUCUUCUUUUUAAACGGCAGAAUAUGAUAUUAAACAGAUACGCAUCUGACACUUUAGAGGAGAUUCAGUGGUUGUUGGAUUCUCUUGUUUACUUCCACUCAGUGAUACUUUACAAAAAAUCAUUUCAGCUCUAGAACCAGAAACUGGACCUCAAAAACAAGUGUGGUCACUUUCUCUCCUGUUUGAACCUUCAGGGAAAACAUAAUAAGAAGUCCCGCCCACUCUUGAUUCUGAUUGGUCAGCAACAGCAAAACAGGGGGUUCAAUCUGAUCCCAUCUUUACAUUUGGUCUUUGUAAACAGAGUUCAGUCUCGACAAGGGUGACCAUACAUGCUAUUUUACCCGGACAUGUCCUCUUUUUGGGGGACUGUCCGGCUUUGUCCAGGGGAGUUUAAGAAAUCCUUCAAAUGUCCGGGGUUUUGUACGGAUGUUUUGAGUUUGUGUCGCGUGGACUUACUGAGUUAGAAACGCGUAAAAAACACUCAGUCCAACCGAAAAAAAAACUCCAAAAAUUUACUACUCGUGACUUCGACCCGCAUAGCCGUGUUCUCUUUUUGGGGAUUCAGAAUAUGGUCACCCUAGUCUAGACCAAUUUUUUGUGUAAACACUUGUUGUGAACUGGCACUAUAUGAAUAAUGAUUGAUUGAUUGAUUGAACUUUUGUAAUAGAAAAUAGUUAUAGUACGAUUGAUUACUACCCUACUUUCUCACCUAUUUACCAGGAUGGUUUAAAUACUUGACUCUGAUUGGUUGAAACUACAGCAAGGUCAUUCUGAACAGACUGAACAUCAAUCAGAUGCCACAUGUCAAAUCAUAUGCUAAGUUGGGAAGAUAAGGACACUGUUGCCAUGGUAGCACCACCACAUAGUAAUGCUGCGUUCCAAUUACCUCCGAAGUUGGAUGUCAGAGCUGGGAAACGCCACACCUGAGUUCCAGUCGGAAAACCAAGAUGGAUGCCUACAGUUAGCCAUUAUCAGCUGUUGUUAGCUGUUGUUAGCUAUACCAGUUGUAAACAAUGCAUAACACAGUAUUUUACUCUUACAAACACCAUAGCACCGUGUUCACAGUUAGACGUUGGGCAGUACAACAUACACCACUUAUUUAAUUUCACAAAAACAAAAUAGAAGUGCUGAUAAAUAAUACAUUACGAGAGCUUUCACUGCACUGCCAUCUUGGAUCAUGAUGUUGUCGUCAAGUCGGGGUUGGCGAGGAUCAUCUGACUUUCUGAGUCAGAAAUCCGACUUCAGGGGACUAUUCCAGAUGAAUUUUUCGACUCGGAGCUCGGAAAUCCCAACUUCCGAGUACAGCAUAAGCCCUCUUUUAAGGAUCACCUGCAUCACCUUAUUUGUAUUGUAACUACAUAAUCGGGUCAACCAGUCAAGCACAAGCCCCUCCCACUCUGCAUCCCAGUCAGGGUUGUAUUUUGCAGAACCACCUGCUCACUAUACAUUAGAGGAUUCCUCGUCUUAACGGUCCAUCAAGAUUAAUGGAGGGCAGGUUGUGCGAGGAUAUAUAAGGAAACAAAAUUAAUUACAGUUACACAAAAUUAAAUUAAGGUGUGAGGAAAAAAGAAAAAAAAAUCACCGCAGCGGAAGGUCAAUUUCAAUCUGAAUCAAUUUACCGAAUCUGCUCGCAAUUAAAAACCUGUUCCUAACACCCCAUGAAAAUAUGGCCCAGCCAGUGGAUUUCUGUCAAUUCAGGUGGAGCUGAGUCCCUUGUGGCUCGUUUCACUCCAACACACACACACACACCCACACCUCCACGUCCUGUUAUAAUUGACUCUAUUGAGCAGGAACAGCAUGCUUUCUCAUUGCUCUCGCACUAAUUGGGUUCUGCGCCCUUACUUUUUACAUGAAACACAUUUUAUGGGGUAAUUUAAAAUACAUAGCUCUGCAUAAUUAGAAAGAGAGGAGGGAAUGAGCGGGAUUCGUGCCACGACAGCGGCGAGAUGAAAUGUCUUUUGUGCACUCGGGGAGAAUCUUUUGUCUAAAAAGGAAAAAAAAGGAUGAAGUGAGUUUGGUCAAAAAUGUCAGAACACCCUCUUUAAAAUGUAAAUAUUAGACGACUGCACCCAGAGAGGCUGGAGAGUCUGUUUGGAGAGCUGAUACAAAUGGGGUCAUCCAUAAGUGAUUUUCGGGGGAAAGUCAGAGGAAGGAAACGCGCAUUAAGAUAAAUAAUGAUUAGCUCUCCAGAACAUAUGCUGUUACUUUCAUAACCCGCUCUAAUGACUUAUUUGGCAGUUGUUGUUUUGACCUGCGUGUACUGUGUAAAUGUUCAAACACUGAGGUGAGGCCAGAUGUUUGGCAGACACGUGUGCGCAUUAACAAACAGCGCGCACACACAUGCAGAUGCUCGGCCAAACGGCACAUCCACAAUAGCGUCUGCGCACACACACAGAGAGACUCGCACAUACUUGACGUCCUCUUGGGAUGGAGUCAUAUUUUCCCUCCCUGUCCCCGCUUGUUGAUAUUUGUCCUGUCAACUCUCUAAACCCGCUGCUGGCUCCUGUGUGGAUCUGAGCAAAGCACUUCAAACAGUGUUGCAAAUAUUUAACAUCUUGAAAUGAGAUUUAGUUGGAGUUUACUUCCUGCUAAUCGUUAACAGAAACGUGUGCGAAAUAAACAACAACAGCUAAACGGGACUUUCUUGUUGGGCUGAAUACGAGGCUCACGUUAAAAGUUUUGUCAAUCACAAAAAAAAGUCCCAGAAUGCUCAGUGGAGAAGUCAAAAGUAGUUUGCACUUUUUGAAAGCUGAAAGGACGAAGAGCUUGAUCUGAACAUACAGGAGCAGUGAAUCAGAGCCGGAGAAAACAAAUAGAUGUGUGCAAAUGAGUUACUUUCUGGAGGCCCUGUUAACAGAGAUGUGCAUUUACCCCAAAUUGCCGCCAGAUACAGAUGAGCGUCAGAAAUCACCGUCGGCCAAUUCCUACUGGAUGC